GCAUAUCAAUAAGCGGAGGAAAAAAAACUAACAAGGAUUCCCUUAGUAACUGCGAGUGAAGUGGGAAAAGCUCAAAUUUAAAAUCUGAUAGUCUUUGGCUGUCCGAAUUGUAAUCUAAAGAAGCAUUAUCUGCACUGGACCAUGUAUAAGUCUUCUGGAAUGGAGCAUCAUAGAGGGUGAGAAUCCUGUCUUUGACAUGGACUACCAGGGCUUUUGUGAUAUGCUCUCAAAGAGUCGAGUUGUUUGGGAAUGCAGCUCUAAAUGGGUGGUAAAUUCCAUCUAAAGCUAAAUAUUGGCGAGAGACCGAUAGUGAACAAGUACCGUGAGGGAAAGAUGAAAAGAACUUUGGAAAGAGAGUUAAAUAGUACGUGAAAUUGUUGAAAGGGAAACACUUGAAGUCAGUCACAUUAAUCAGAGAUCAACCCUGUUUUUUUACUUGGUGUAUUUUCUGUUUAAUGGGUCAGCAUCAAUUUCAACUAGUAGAAAAAGAUUGAAAGAAUGUGGCAUUUUUGAAUGUGUUAUAGCUUUCAGUUAUAUAUACUAGUUGAGAUUGAGGAAUUCAGCAUGCCGCAAGGCCGGAUUUUUAAAUCACGUUCAUGCUUAGGAUGCUGACAUUUAAUGGCUUUAAUUGACCCGUCUUGAAACACGGACCA
rnacentral:rRNA from 1 species